rnacentral:rRNA from 1 species
UGGGGAAUAUUGCACAAUGGGGGAAACCCUGAUGCAGCGACGCCGCGUGAGCGAAGAAGGCUUUCGAGUCGUAAAGCUCUGUCCUAUGAGAAGAUAAUGACGGUAUCAUAGGAGGAAGCCCUGGCUAAAUACGUGCCAGCAGCCGCGGUAAUACGUAUGGGGCGAGCGUUGUCCGGAAUUAUUGGGCGUAAAGGGUACGUAGGUGGUUUUUUAAGUCAGGUGUCAAAGCUUGGAGCUUAACUCCAUUAAGCACUUGAAACUGAAAGACUUGAGUGAAGGAGAGGAAAGUGGAAUUCCUAGUGUAGCGGUGAAAUGCGUAGAUAUUAGGAGGAAGACCGGUGGCGAAGGCGACUUUCUGGACUUUUACUGACGCUCAGGUACGAAAGCGUGGGGAGCAAACAGG